rnacentral:lncRNA from 1 species
CUGGAUUAAAGCUGCUCUUUGUAAGGGAGAUAUUUAUAGUAUUCUAGUUUCCUUAUAUCUCAUAUAAUUUUCACAUUCACCAAAGCACAUACAUGUACACAUACCUGUGUACACACAUACACACUAAAAACUCAUGUUAAAAUAGGGUGACAUAAAAUAAAUAAUUACCCUUAUCAGGCAAAGUCAAAACAUAAUUGACAGAAUCUCUCAGAACAAGAGUUUAAAACAUACGUAAACACAUCCACAUUAAAAUGUAACUGCUCUGUGUUGCCCUUUAAAUUUUGUACUUCACAAUCUCUUUAUGACAUCAUACCUCAACAUCACCAGUGUGGACAUAUAAUGCUGAAGUUCUGGCAACAUGUAAGAAGAGGAAAUGUCUCUUCCACUGCUGCAUUAAGAAGAUGCGUGCUUCCUGUAUUCUGCUGCUGCCCUUCCCCCGGUAUGCAGUUACUCUAUGGGGAGAAAAACAGCCACUUGGUCACUCACAGAUGGAAAGGAGUCUGGGAGCUCUAGUUUCUGUAUCCCCAGUAACUCUACUUCACACUAAGGGAGUCAGAGCACAGAUCUUUGGUGGAGCAGCCAGCUGUUGGACACACUCAUCUGCCAAAGAAUCUUAUUCUCUCAUGGAUACCAAAGAAAUAAGAGAACCAAUCAUUUCUGUUGGAAGAACAGAACACCUUGCAUAUUACCUCCUCAAGUAGCUUAUUUCUUGACAAANNGGAAACAUGAGCCUCUAUCAUCUCCUCCACCCAGCUUGGAUGAGUAGUGUGUGAGCAGGAGAGGAAUUACACAAGCAAAUUCUCCCUCUGUUCUCAAAACUGCAAUUCAGAGAGAGUGCUCGGAGGCCCUGCUAUAAACAAAGUGCUGACAGCUAAACCCCAAGCUUAAGUCGUAAGAAAUAAAGCUUUACAUCUUGGACACAUUUAGUGAGAAUUUUAUUCUUUAGGAAAAUGGGGAUUUCAUACAUAGCCAUAACUAU